rnacentral:rRNA from 1 species
AUUGAACGCUGGCGGCAGGCCUAACACAUGCAAGUCGAGCGGUAGAGAGAAGCUUGCUUCUCUUGAGAGCGGCGGACGGGUGAGUAAUGCCUAGGAAUCUGCCUGGUAGUGGGGGAUAACGUUCGGAAACGGACGCUAAUACCGCAUACGUCCUACGGGAGAAAGCAGGGGACCUUCGGGCCUUGCGCUAUCAGAUGAGCCUAGGUCGGAUUAGCUAGUUGGUGGGGUAAUGGCUCACCAAGGCGACGAUCCGUAACUGGUCUGAGAGGAUGAGCAGUCACACUGGAACUGAGACACGGUCCAGACGCCUACGGGAGGCAGCAGUGGGGAAUAUUGGACAAUGGGCGAAAGCCUGAUCCAGCCAUGCCGCGUGUGUGAAGAAGGUCUUCGGAUUGUAAAGCACUUUAGGUUGGGAGGAAGGGCAGUAAAUUAAUACUUUGCUGUUUUGACGUUACCGACAGAAUAAGCACCGGCUAACUCUGUGCCAGCCGCCGCCGUAA